GACGAACCGUGCGAACGUUGUUCGGAAUCACUGGGCAUAAAGGGCGCGUAGGCGGCUUAUCAAGUCAGGGGUGAAAUCCGGCAGCUCAACUGUCGAAGUGCCCUUGAUACUGACGAGCUCGAGGGAGGUAGGGGUCUGUGGAACUUCCGGUGGAGCGGUGAAAUGCGUUGAUAUCGGAAGGAACGCCGGUGGCGAAAGCGACGGACUGGACCUCUUCUGACGCUGAGGCGCGAAAGCCAGGGGACGCAAACGGG
rnacentral:rRNA from 1 species